ensembl:lncRNA
UAUUUCUAUUACUUCCAUUAAUGGUACAAUUGUGAAUUUUAAAACUAUUCCACCCUAAUCAGAUUGUACUUUAGAAGAUCUGAUUUAGCUAUUUCCUGAUCAGUAACAAUGGAGAUACUUGGAAUAACAGAAUCAGGUCUUGGAAACUCUACCUUUCUCCAUCCUUCUUAGUUUAACAAGAUUAGGAAGGUCUGCAUCAAACUCAAGAUUUAAUUAUCUGAGGAAAUGGCCUCCAACAAACAUGUGCAGAAAAAUAGACAGAGCCCUGGGCUGUCCUAAGUCAAGCUAAGCAAUCCUUGGUACAAAUGAGAUGCAUAAAAGUGAUGUAAAACCAUCCAUAUAAGGCAUGUCACUUCCUCUCUCUUGCUCUUUCCCUGGAGAGGCAACUCUGGCUGGCAGCGUGUUAGGUGUUCCAAUAUCUUGGAGAGGUGGGAAGAGCACGGAACUCUUUCCUAGGAAUUCUCCUAACUUUUUAUUUAGUAUCUAGCUAGAGGUAACAGAUUUCAAAUGAUUUUGGACAUUGUCUAAAAAGAAAUUGUUUUCUGGGGAAAGUAUAUUCCACCUUUCCGGAGGAUGAAGAACAAAAUACUCAUCUAUAGUGUGGUGUGUGUACCUAGAAAAAUGUAGGGGCCAAGGUGGUAAAAGUCAGUCAAAGAGUCUUUGUUAAGUAUUUAAUGUGUGCCAUGCCAUGUGCUAAGAACUGGGGAUACAAAAAAAGAACAAAAACCGUCCCUCCCCUCAAGGAACUCACUUUUAAUGGGGAAAGACAACACGCAAGGUAUUUGUGUAAAAAAUACAUAUGGUAUAAAUAGGAAGUAAUCUCAGAGAGAAGUAAGGAAAUAAGGAAACAAGCAUUUAUCAGGUGUGUCUACUUUUUUCCAGACACUGGACUGAACUCUACAAAUAUUAUCUUAUUUGAUCAUUAUAGCAACCCUGGGAGGUAGUUGCUAUUAUUUUUCCCAUUUAAAACUUGAAGAAACUGAGGCAUAUAGAGAUAAAGUGACUUGUCCACAGACACACAACUAGAAAGUGCCUGAGGCUGAGGCUUGAUAUGAAACCUUCUUGACUCCAGGUCUAGUGUAGUUGUCUAUCCACUGUGCCAACUUUGAGUGAAGAGCUGGGAGAGGUGGAGGGGAACAGACUAGGACAGAUCUCUUGCAGAAGAUGGAAUUUGAGCUGAAACUUCAGGGAAGACAAGGGACACAGGAGAGGAGAAAGAACAUUCCAAACAUGGCGAUCAGCCAGUGGAAAGGAGCUGAGUAGGGAGAUUUAGUGUUUUAUUCAAGGAAUAGAAAGAAGGCCAGUGUGGCUUGAUUAUAGAGUUCACAGAACAGACUAAAGUAUAAGAAAAUUAAUGGUAGCAAGAGGCUAGAUUGUGAAGGGAUUUAAAGCCAAAGAGAUAAUUUUAGAUUUGAUCUUGGAGACUGUAGGACGCCACUAGAGUCAUGUCCUGUGGAGUAGGAAAGGAACAUGGUCUGAUUUGUACUUUAGGCAGCGACUAGAAGAUGAACCAGAGCAGGAGAGAUUUGAAGCAGUGAUCAGUCAGAAAACUAUUACAAAAGGCCAGAUGAAGGUAAAAUGCACACCUAUCUGCCUACAAAGUGUUGAUGGCAUAAAUGGGAAACAAUCUCAGAUAACCUCAGUAAAAACUACUCAUGUGCUGUAAGUGAUUAGACCUGGAGCCUAGGGAUUAGGGAACCAAAUAAACCCUGCAACCCCUCUUCUUCA